CCUCGACUCUCUCUCUCUCUUCUCCUUGUUUUCUCCGAUGGCGAAAUUGAGAGCAAAUCGUGUUGUUCUUCAUAAUCCGGCGUCUAGAUCAUCAAAUUGGAAGAGAAAGGCGAAACAAAGUCGUAACCGUUCAUCCGUGAUGAUCAGCUCCACCGUCGGUGGUCACCAACAGAAGUUCGGUGGACCUAAUCAGUGCGUUCGGCAAAUCAAAUCGGAUAGUUAGGCGAUUCCAUGCUCCAAUCGCUUAAUCAAGGAAGAAACAAUUGACGAUUAUGUGGAAAAUGUAAGAGAAGCUCUUUGCUACAAGGUGUGCUGAUGAUUUAGCAAAGCAUUUCAAAGAGAGUGUACUGCUUAAGUUGCCAAAGAAUUAUCAGGGAAAGUCGGCUUUUUCAUACCCCCACAUAAUGAUUGUGUUGAAUUCAUACAUUUAUCUAUUGCUUGUGCUAUAACAUACCCCAACUUGUAGUAAAUUUGAAUUCCAAACCCGAAGUAAAUAUUUUGUGCCAAAUUAUACAAAAACGUGGAAAUGGCCUAACACUGUUAACCCACCGUGAAGUCAUUCUGACGGGAAUCCACGUGUGCAGAGAGGCCCAAAACGACGUCGUUUUGGAUUUAAUUGAGAAGACAAAGUAAAGCCAGAAACGACGUCGUUUUGGACAUUUUAUUCACUUAUUCUUCUUUCUUUCCCGACUUGAGCCGUGUGCGACAAAAGCUUAGUGAUUUGGGGAUUUAGGGUUCUUGUGGAUUGCGACGGAUUAGCUUCAAAUCCAAACUUAAUACCAAUGAUUCCCGAUGAAGCAGAGGAUUUGGAAGUCCAACAAAGAGAUCCGUCGAGGUAAUUUCAAAUCUAUUUUGGAUUUUCAAAAUCAAUUUCGGAUGUAUUCAUAUAUAGUUUUGAGUUGCUAAAGAGAUAAUUUGUGAGAAUUCUAGGUAGUCCUCUUUCUGCU